GGGUCUCUGUGUUUGAAGUACAAACAAGAAAUGUGCACGUGUUAGGUGUGGUGUGUAGCCUCAUUGCUGUACCUAAUGUCAGUUCAUAUGUACAAACACAUUAGCUGAAGUGAAAUCAUAGGUUUUUCUAUAAAUUUUUUAAAAAUAAAUUGUGCAGCAAAGAAUAGGAAGCAUGACAGGUAUGCUUACUGGAUGUGUUUAUGGUAACCUGGUCUAGGGCACAUACAUUUCCAUUAUAGACAGUGUUUUUAAACUUUGCUUGUGAUUUCAAGAAUGAGACAGCUGCUGUGAGCAGUACAUUGUUCUACGCUAAGUCAUUGCUUAAUGAAGGAAAAAGAAAUCUGCCAGUACAGCUUUUUCCAGAUUAACACAUUUAGUUUGAACUCACAGUAAUUACAUGUCUACUGUGUUGAGACAGUUUUUUCAUACUUUAUUUGGAUACAUUUUCUUUGCAGAGAAAGAAAUGCUUACAUCACUUUACCUGUGGCUUGUGCCAGAUGUCUGAGGUGAACCAUGUCCCUUGUAUACCAGGAGCAGGCUCAUUUGUUUCAUCAAAUUCUCAGUUGUCCAGUUGUCCAGGACAAUUCUUAGUGUCCAGUUGCCAUCUUUUAUUAAAUGAUUAAAUUUUCCACGAGUCUCUAUAGCUUAAAAUACCACAUUCCUUUUCAACCAGUCACCCCCCCGGGCCCAGACAUACACCAAAUGAGUACUCCCAUUUCAUGAGAAAUAUUUGUAGAAAACAGAUUUGCUGAUGGUGGCAAUGGAGUUUAUAAUAGCCUUCAUUUUCUUAAUUAAAAUUUUGCAUCAUACAUUGCUUCAGUUAUAGCUUACCAUGCUUUCCCACUGCUUUCCUGAAUCACAUGUUUUAAGGUUGUGUUUUCUUAUCUCCAUCACCUUGUUUUCAUCCUUGAUAUUUCAUAGUCACAGGGAACUUCAUUCUUUGAGUUUUCUGUUUUUAAACACAUAUCCAUUCUUGUCUAUGUUGCUUAUUGGCCAUAUUUUAUGGCCCCUUAAAUACAAUAUCCUCCAAACUUUAUCUCACUGAAACCUGCUUCUCUCUGGUGCUCUGUGUUAUCUUAAAGAAUUCAACCAUUAUUCAUUUUGUUGUCCAGCCAGAAGACCUGGAGUUCCUCCGAAUGCCUUCCUUUCCUUUCCCCUUCCUUUCUCACACUAAUGACUCGGUAUGUCUACCAUCUGUUCCUAUGUUUCUGUUUCACCACCAGACAUUCAGGUCAUCAUUGCUCACUUGUGUCAUUAGAUAAGCCUUUUUUUUUUCUUUCUAAUUGCAUCUAACCCUGCCAUUAUUGAUUAUUUUGAAAUCCAAAUAUCGUCCCAGGACAUUUUUCUAAAUUACUUCACGGUUUUCCCACCACCUCCAAAAUGAACACUCUGACUAAAAUGUGCAAAUGUAGUCAUGAGCUCACCCUUGCUUACUUCUUCACUUUGCACUCCCUUUUCUACACCAUCUACUCUAGUCAUUUUGUACUUUUCCAAUUCCUAGAAUAUGGGCCAGUAACCUAGGUCAGGCCUCAUAGAGGUUGGUUUUCAUUCAAAGACCACUUAGAAAUCAAGACUUUGUUCAAGAUUACUUUUACUUAGUCUUUCUACUAAAUUAGCAUCUUAAUACCAAUGACAUGUGUAUACAAUGUAAACAUGUAAGGGAAUGAAUACAGUGUGUGUCCCUAGUUUCUUACAGAGAUAUGGCCAACAUUCAGUUGUCAAUAUAGUAUAUGCAUGGGCUGGGGCUGAGGCUCAGUGGCAGAGCACUUGUCUAGCAUCUGUGAGGCACAGGAUUUGAUCCUCAGCACCUCGUAAAAAUAAACAAAUAAAAUAAAGGCAUUCUGCCCAUCUACAACUACAAAAAAAAAUUUAAAAAUAUGUAUGUAGUAUAUGCACAUCUCCUGCAAAUGACAUGAUUUCAUUGUUCUUUAUUGUUGACUAAAACUCCUUUGUAUGUAUGCCACAUUUUCUUUAUCUAUUAAUCCAUUGAUGGACAUCUAGCCUGGUUCUAUAGUUUGGCUAUUGUGAUUUGUGAUGCUAUAAACAGGGGUAUGCAUGUAUUGCUAUAGUAUGCUGACUUUAAUUCUUCAGGAUAAGUACCAAGGAGUGUUAUAGCUGGUUCAUAUGGUGGUUCCUUUCUACCUUUUGUGAAACCUCCUUACUGAUUUCCAGGAUGGUUGUACUUUACAAUUACACCAGUAAUGGAAAAGUGUUCUUUUUCUCAACAUCGUCUCCAACACUUAUUGUUCUUUGUAUUUUUGAUGACUGCCAUUGUGACUGGUGUAAGAUGAAAUCUCAGUGUCAUUUCAGUUUGUAUUUCCCUAAUAACUAAUGUUGUUGAACAUUUAUUUAUUUAUUUAUUGGUCACUUCUAUUUCUUCUUUAGAAAUAUGUCUGGUUAAUUCAUUUGUCCAUUUAUUAAUUGGAUUUUUU
rnacentral:lncRNA from 1 species